CUCCCUGGAGCAGAGCUCCCCUCCUUCCCCCAGCACCCUCCAGGCAGCUGCAGCCCAGUUUUCUGUUGGAUUUAAUUCUUUUGUGCUUUGUGCCCAUUCCCUCAGCCCCUGCCCUUGGGAGCAGCUGGAUUGGGUCAGUUUGGAUCCCAGUUUGGAUCCCAGGUUUGGAUCCCAGGUUUGGGUCCCAGUUUGGAUCCCAGUUUGGGUCCCAGUUUGGGUCCCAGGUUUGGGUCCCAGGUUUGGGUCCCAGGUUUGGGUCCCAGGUUUGGGUCCCAGGUUUGGAUCCCAGGUUUGGAUCCCAGUUUGGAUCCCAGGUUUGGAUCCCAGUUUGGGUCCCAGGUUGGGUCCCAGGUUUGGAUCCCAGUUUGGAUCCCAGGUUUGGAUCCCAGGUUUGGAUCCCAGUUGGGUCCCAGUUUGGGUCCCAGUUUGGGUCCCAGUUUGGAUCCCAGCUUGGACUGGGACAAGCCCCCAGCUCCUCCCUGGUGAGUGGUCAGAGGUGAGCCCAGGCUCGGGAGGGACCCCUGGGUGUGCAGGAGGGGCUGGGCUGGGCUCGGGAGGCUGGAGGUGCCUCUGGGAGGAGGAGGAGGAGGAGGAGGAGGAGGAGGAGGAGCUGCCCUGUCCCCUCCUGGGGCUUUUCUUUGGGGGGAAAUGCCUGAGUUCCCCCCGGGUUUGUGCAGCUGCAGGGGGGAUUCUGGACCUUAAAUCCUCCUUUUUCUUGCUCCCUUCUCCCGGUCCCUUUGCCAGGUGGCUGCUGUGAGAUUCCAGAUUCCAGGGGUUGGGGUGCUGAGCAGGGCUGGAGAGGAUGGAGCAGUGAAAUUCCAAACUGCAGGGAUUUCGGUGCCUGUACCGAGCUGUGGCAGGGGAUGAAGCUGCAGGUUUGGGGAGAAUCAAACACAAACUGGGGGUGCUGGGGACGCCCAGGUGCCACCUGAGUGCCAGUGCCAUGCUGGGUUUUCCUCCCUGUCCUUCCCUGCCUUUUCCAACAGCAGACCCCGAGCACCCAGGGAAGUUGGGAGCUGAGAGGUGAGUGAGGAGGUGAUGAGAAGCUUCAGCCAGGUUUGGAGAGGGAAGGGCAAAUAUUCAUGGUAGAAAUCUCAUUUUGUCAUAUCAGAGGUGGCAUCAGUGUACACAAACAAAGCAACUCGGGAUUUUUGUAAUUGAUAUUCUCUUGUAUUUUUUUUAGGUUCGAUUAGGGGUUCUUGCUGACAUGUUGAAACACGUUUUCUAAAGCAAAAACUUGCAAAUUAUGCCUAUAGAAAUUUAGGUUUCGUAGCUGACAGCUGUGACUGAUUCACGUUGUCAUAUUGGAGGGACUUGGCUCACAAAGCUCAACCUUUUCAACCCCAGAUUUGCUUUUAUUGCCUUUUAAUACUGACUUGAAAUAUGACAACUUGGUUUGUACAUGAAUAUUGCAGUAUUUUAUUUCCAUAUAUUAAGAAAAUAACAUUUCCACUCAGGAUAACGGCGGUGCUUUUCCUGGGAGGGAGUGGUAUGAGUGUCAUGACAAUGUCAUGUGAUGGUAGAAUUUCUUCAUUGACGAAUCUAUAGUGGUUGUGUAUACUUUAUUUACCCACCUUUGUGUUCCUACCCGAAACCGGAGCCUUUUGUUGUUCCCUCCCUGCUGAGCCCCGGGGGCACAAUUGGAGAAAGCCCUCCCUGGGUCCUUCACACCCCAAAAAAAAAGUGCAAACCCCGAAAUUUCGGGCACAGCAGCGCUGCAGGCCCCGGUGCUGGCAGAGCCCUGGACCCUCCGAGCAGCCUGGGCUGGCAGAGCCUGCAGAGACCGGCCCCAAUUCUCCACCCAAAAUCGGCCUCUUCUUCCUCCUCUCUCUCCCCUUUUCCUUUCCUGAUCCAGGUUGGGGGGUCAGGGGGGGUCACUCCUCUUUAGCCCAGAGCCCCACCGGGUGCAGUUUGUGGUUCUGGGGCUCCCGGGGCUGGCUGAGAUUGGGGGUGGGCUUGGAGCCACCCCGGGGGCUCCUGGCUGGGGCUGGGGGUGACACCAGGGGUGGCUCUGCCCUGCCGGGGGUGGCUCUGUCCCCUCCCUGUCCUCUCUGCCCUCCCAGGGGUGGCUCUGUCCCCUCUCUGUCCCCUCUCUGCCCCCUCUGCCCCCCGUGCUGCCAGCCCCAGUCCCUCCCCUGUAUUUGUCUCUUCAGAACAACCUCUGGCAUAACAAACUAUUGACUGUUCUUAGGCGGUGGGGAUAAUUUUCCUUUUUUUUUCCAGGACUUUUCGUGACUGACUUUGGCUGUAAAACUUUUUUGUUCAACAGCAAAAGUUUAUUUCGGGUUUUUCUUUUUUUUUUUUUAAUUUUGUUUGAUUAUUUUUUGUUGUUCCAAGAUGUGUAAUUCUCUUAUGGAUUCUUUUUUUUUUUUUGUUAUUAUUCCUUUUUUUUUUUUCUAACAUUGCUUCAUUAAACAACUAAAUAUUUAAAAAUGUAAUAUUUGGACCAGAUGUUGUGAAUAAUAGUAGAUAAAGCUAUUUUAUUCUGUAUUUUUAAAGCUGUUCAGUAUAAAUAAACGCGGGCAUAGAUGCA